rnacentral:tRNA from 1 species
GGCUCGUUGGUCUAGGACUCUAGGGGUAUGAUUCGCGCUUCGGGUGCGAGAGGUCCCGGGUUCAAUUCCCGGACGAGCCC